rnacentral:rRNA from 1 species
CCUACGGGUGGCAGCAGUAGGGAAUAUUGCUCAAUGGGGGAAACCCUGAAGCAGCAACGCCGCGUGGAGGAUGAAGGUUUUCGGAUUGUAAACUCCUUUUGUUAGAGAAGAUAAUGACGGUAUCUAACGAAUAAGCACCGGCUAACUCCGGGCCAGCAGCCGCGGUAAUACGGAGGGUGCAAGCGUUACUCGGAAUCACUGGGCGUAAAGAGCGCGUAGGCGGGAUAGCACGUCAGAUGUGAAAUCCUAUGGCUUAACCAUAGAACUGCAUUUGAAACUGUUGUUCUAGAGUAUGGGAGAGGUAGGUGGAAUUCUUGGUGUAGGGGUAAAAUCCGUAGAGAUCAAGAGGAAUACUCAUUGCGAAGGCGACCUGCUGGAACAUAACUGACGCUGAUGCGCGAAAGCGUGGGGAGCAAACAGGAUUAGAUACCCCGGUAGUC